GGGCGGUUAGCUCAGCUGGCUAGAGCGCCUGCCUUACAAGCAGGAGGUCGCAGGUUCGAGCCCUGCACCGCCCA
rnacentral:tRNA from 1 species